rnacentral:rRNA from 1 species
UACAGAGGUCCCGAGCGUUGUUCGGAUUCACUGGGCGUAAAGGGUGCGUAGGUGGUGAGGUAAGUCGGAUGUGAAAUCUCCGAGCUCAACUCGGAAAUGGCAUUGGAAACUACCUUGCUUGAGGGUUGGAGGGGGGGACUGGAAUACUUGGUGUAGCAGUGAAAUGCGUAGAUAUCAAGUGGAACACCAGUGGCGAAGGCGAGUCCCUGGACAACUCCUGACACUGAGGCACGAAAGCUAGGGGGAGCAAACAGG